GAGUCUUGAUUAUGCUCAUAGGAACAGAGAACCUUGGACAGCAGAGCCAGCUACUUCAGAGAGAACGAAAAGGAUCACAGACAGCCUUUCUCCAGUGGCAACUGACAUGGAGAAAUCAACUUUCAAGCGCAGAGAGUCCUUAUCAACCCAGCCGGAUACUUCAGACAGAACAAAA